UUGAACGCUGGCGGCAGGCCUAACACAUGCAAGUCGAACGGUAACAGGAAGAAGCUUGCUUCUUUGCUGACGAGUGGCGGACGGGUGAGUAAUGUCUGGGAAACUGCCUGAUGGAGGGGGAUAACUACUGGAAACGGUAGCUAAUACCGCAUAACGUCGCAAGACCAAAGAGGGGGACCUUCGGGCCUCUUGCCAUCGGAUGUGCCCAGAUGGGAUUAGCUAGUAGGUGGGGUAACGGCUCACCUAGGCGACGAUCCCUAGCUGGUCUGAGAGGAUGACCAGCCACACUGGAACUGAGACACGGUCCAGACUCCUACGGGAGGCAGCAGUGGGGAAUAUUGCACAAUGGGCGCAAGCCUGAUGCAGCCAUGCCGCGUGUAUGAAGAAGGCCUUCGGGUUGUAAAGUACUUUCAGCGGGGAGGAAGGGAGUAAAGUUAAUACCUUUGCUCAUUGACGUUACCCGCAGAAGAAGCACCGGCUAACUCCGUGCCAGCAGCCGCGGUAAUACGGAGGGUGCAAGCGUUAAUCGGAAUUACUGGGCGUAAAGCGCACGCAGGCGGUUUGUUAAGUCAGAUGUGAAAUCCCCGGGCUCAACCUGGGAACUGCAUCUGAUACUGGCAAGCUUGAGUCUCGUAGAGGGGGGUAGAAUUCCAGGUGUAGCGGUGAAAUGCGUAGAGAUCUGGAGGAAUACCGGUGGCGAAGGCGGCCCCCUGGACGAAGACUGACGCUCAGGUGCGAAAGCGUGGGGAGCAAACAGGAUUAGAUACCCUGGUAGUCCACGCCGUAAACGAUGUCGACUUGGAGGUUGUGCCCUUGAGGCGUGGCUUCCGGAGCUAACGCGUUAAGUCGACCGCCUGGGGAGUACGGCGGCAAGGUUAAAACUCAAAUGAAUUGACGGGGGCCCGCACAAUCGGUGGAGCAUGUGGUUUAAUUCGAUGCAACGCGAAGAACCUUACCUGGUCUUGACAUCCACGGAAGUUUUCAGAGAUGAGAAUGUGCCUUCGGGAACCGUGAGACAGGUGCUGCAUGGCUGUCGUCAGCUCGUGUUGUGAAAUGUUGGGUUAAGUCCCGCAACGAGCGCAACCCUUAUCCUUUGUUGCCAGCGGUCCGGCCGGGAACUCAAAGGAGACUGCCAGUGAUAAACUGGAGGAAGGUGAGGAUGACGUCAAGUCAUCAUGGCCCUUACGACCAGGGCUACACACGUGCUACAAUGGCGCAUACAAAGAGAAGCGACCUCGCGAGAGCAAGCGGACCUCAUAAAGUGCGUCGUAGUCCGGAUUGGAGUCUGCAACUCGACUCCAUGAAGUCGGAAUCGCUAGUAAUCGUGGAUCAGAAUGCCACGGUGAAUACGUUCCCGGGCCUUGUACACACCGCCCGUCACACCAUGGGAGUGGGUUGCAAAAGAAGUAGGUAGCUUAACCUUCGGGAGGGCGCUUACCACUUUGUGAUUCAUGACUGGGGUG
rnacentral:rRNA from 1 species